rnacentral:lncRNA from 1 species
UGGAUCCUAUGAUGCGAAAGACAGAGAUAUACCCGAUGGGGGUGUUGAUGACAUAGAAAGUAUUGUUAAGGUUAAAGAACAUACGAGUGGCAUCCAAACAUUGAAUGAUGACGAGUGGCAUUAAUGUAGUGUAAUGACACUAGAGGUCGAUGGACCUAGGGAUAGGUGGAUCCCUUAGAAAAUGCCUUGUGAACAAUGAAUUUAGACAACCUAAAUAGCGUUGCAUGAAUGUCGGGAACAAAUGAUUCCGCGAGAGAUAUUGACCCUAGUGAUAGGGCUUCCUCACUUGGAGAGGAUUCGAUUGGGUAUUGACUCUAGUCGUAGAGUAUCCUCACUUGGAGAGGACUUGAUUGAGUUGUUGACCCUAGAUGUAGGGCAUCCUCACUUGGAGAGGAUAGAUCUAGCUCACAGUCUGCGUUUGGGAUGGUAUAGCCAUCCAAUCCCCACAUGGAGGGGAUUGUCGUCGAGUACUCCGGAGUGUCGCGCGACUAGGACCACUUGGAGGUCCGGACCACAUGGAGGUCCGCAGACGGUCCCGGGCUUGGGUGCACUUGGAGCUCCCUCCCCACUUUGGGAUUGAAAGGUGAGUUAUGGGCGAGCCCUAGGGCCUCACCACAGAUUGGGUAAAUGGAAAGGUUAAAGGUUUAACAAUGUCAUUGAACAUAGCUAUUCGAACAUGGAUCGAAUUUGUUAGCAUGGUAGCAAACCUUUAUUAUAUGAUGCAUGCAUUCAUAUUCAUGAUUAUGGGCAUAGUAGCAUAGUUUUCCUACUAUCGCAUUUACAGCUUUCAGAUACAUAUCUAUCUAUCUAUCUAUCUGUUGUUGCUUGUGCCCACUUGGACCUAGUGGGGAGAUCGGCAGAGUCGGCGGCCGAGCCCACUGGGAACUAUGGAAGAUAGUUCUCACCCCACUCUAUUUCCAGUGGUAGGUACAGGGUUGCUGAGAGAGGACCGCGGCAAGGGCAUCGCGCCCGAUCAGUGAGACCGUGGUAGU